rnacentral:rRNA from 1 species
AAAGGAAUUGACGGGGGCCCGCACAAGCAGUGGAGUAUGUGGUUUAAUUCGAAGCAACGCGAAGAACCUUACCAGGUCUUGACAUCCCGAUGACCGCUGUAGAGAUACAGCUUUUCUUCGGAACAUUGGAGACAGGUGGUGCAUGGUUGUCGUCAGCUCGUGUCGUGAGAUGUUGGGUUAAGUCCCGCAACGAGCGCAACCCUUACUGUUAGUUGCUACCAUUUAGUUGAGCACUCUAACGGGACUGCCGGCGACAAGUCGGAGGAAGGUGGGGACGACGUCAAAUCAUCAUGCCCCUUAUGACCUGGGCUACACACGUACUACAAUGGCAGUUAACAACGAGCAGCGAAGUCGCGAGGCGGAGCAAAUCUCAAAAAACUGUCCCAGUUCAGAUUGCAGGCUGAAACUCGCCUGUAUGAAGUCGGAAUUGCUAGUAAUCGCGGAUCAGCAUGCCGCGGUGAAUACGUUCCCGGGCCUUGUACACACCGCCCGU